rnacentral:rRNA from 1 species
UACGUAGGUGGCAAGCGUUUGUUCGGAAUUACUGGGCGUAAAGCGCGUGUAGGCGGCUCUUCAAGUCAGGCGUGAAAGCUCCGAGCUUAACUCGGAAAUUGCAUUGAAUACUAUUCUGCUAGAGGGUUGAAGGGGGGACUGGAAUUCUCGGUGUAGCAGUGAAAUGCGUAGAUAUCGAGAGGAACACCAGUGGCGAAGGCGAGUCCCUGGACAACUCCUGACACUGAGGCACGAAGGCCAGGGGAGCAAACGGGAUUAGAGUACC